AUUCAAGAACCGCUAAAUCAUCACUCGCCGCGCUCCCAACUGGCUGUUCUGCGCUAGUAUUAGCAUCUAAGUAAUUAGCAAACUUUUGAGUGGACACGCAACUAGCUUGGGACUCGAUUGAGCCGUUAAUGGAGAUGGAAGACCCUUCAGAUCCGAGUCUGUUUCUGCUCUCAUCGUCCAAAAAUGUGUCCAGAGGUGCGACCAACAUCAUACCACCACCAUCAAACCUGCAAGACCCAGUCAUAGAGGCAGGACUGUGGCCAGACACCAUGUCUGAUUCAAAAAGCAGAAAGACUUCCACACCCUCUCCAUCAACCCCUGUCUGUCCUAAAGCAGAGGAUGUUGAGUGUCUGACACCUGUGGGCUCAGGGAAGAGAACCAGAGUCUCUGUGAAUAAGUGCCGUGUUUGUAGGAAAGAAUUUAAAACAACCAGUGCACUUAAAAAACACCUCUUGAUCCACAGACAGGAUGGGCCUCAUUUCUGUGGCGUCUGUCAGAGAGCAUUUAAACACCAUCAUCAGCUCACUUCUCACAUGAUGACCCACCACAAGAGAAAGAGCUAUAACUGCACUCAGUCUGGCUGCCACAAAUCCUACGACGACAAAAACUCCCUAAAACAUCACUGUGCCUCUCGACACGGAGUCCGCCUCACAUCUCCUUGCUCCUCCAGCCUCUCUUCCAACUAUGACCUGCCGGCCUCAGCGUGGGAGCCAACGGUUAAUCUAGCUGCGUCCAACUACCUCUUUACCUCUCAACCAAAGCCUGUUUCAGCUCCUGUGCUAAAGAAUCCCAGUUAUUCUGGAAAACUCUUCGGUUCUUAUGACACAGGAGAUCGUGGGAUGGGGCGCCAUGCAGAAGAUGCCCAUCCCUCUCAGGUUAAAUAUUCAACAUGUCAAGAAAGCUGGACUUUAGCAUCUGCCAGUAAAUCUUGUAAAGUCGAAGAAAGCAAUAAGAUGCUAAACUCCACCCAGUGGACUCUGGGUAUCGAAGAAAAUCCAGUGGUUUCACGGAACCCAUUUGAUGUUCAUGGUUUAGAAACCUGUCUUGAUUUUCCUGAAUCUUACCCAGAAGAAUUGAAAGAGAUGCUGUCAUUUCAGCCUAACAGAGAGGCGCCUACCAGCAGCGUUGGCUGCCCUGUGAGGCCACGAGCUUCAGUGUGCUCUAAACUGCAUUGUCCCAUACUGCUGAAACACAGUCUGAAGGAGCCCAGACCUCCGAGCAAGUUAAAGCGACGGCGCACCUUUUCCUGUUUCAGUUAUCCCGCUGUAUUAUACCCUGAACCAAAGACUGAUUUCGACUGUAAUCUUGCCGAUCCUGUACUUGAUUCUCCUCCUGCAACAUUGCCCAACAGUAGGAAGAGGAAGUCCUGCUCUAAGGACGUCCUGUCUGAUGUUCCAACUCCUCCACUGCCUGUUCCUCAGCCCACUUGUCAUAAGCGUUCACGACCACGCUCUUCCUACCUUGUCUCACCAAGUCAAGUGGCACUUGCAUCCUUCAGCACUUACCUCGGCAAACAGCUUUUACAAAAGGAGCCCGUUUUGAAAUCAACAGGAGAGGAACCAAACGCUGGUUGCAGAACAUAUACAAGAACUUCAUCUGUUCGUAGAGCUCAGUCGCAGCCCUCAUGUUCUCAGGAAGCUGUUGGAACAAAGGAGGAACAUGAUUCACAAGCAUCCACCCCAACACUGGAUGAUGGACAGAAGGGAGCUUCAGGACAAAAGUCCAAAGAGACAAACCUGUCUCCACUGAUGAUGCCUGUGUCUGUCCCAGUCUCCGUGACAAACGUUUUAGGCCCACAAGCUUCCACACAACAAGCCAAGAGGUCACAGACUCGUAAAGGUGCAUCUAAGAGGUCUUGUCAUCUUGACCCUUUAAACUGCCUCAUCAUCCCCAGUUCACCUCUGCCUCGUCUAUCUUCCCCACAAUGCACUGAUACUAAGGAAACCCAGGGUUUGCAGAGAAGCUGUGGCAUAGGCAUUUACCCCAGCCAGCUGCGCUCGCCAAACUAUCUGACAGACCACCCGCUGAGCCCUAGUUUUCACCCCCCACCAUACACCCCUCAGCCUAUGCUAAGCCCUCUCCGUUCUGGGACAGGCCUCUAUUCUAAAAGCCUACCGCAACUUCAGCCAUGCUUAUCUCUACCCAGCAUCUUUGAUGGUGUCUCCUUCCCAAUCGACAACACAGCCAUCAACAUACAGCCAAGGAUAAACGUAGGUUCACGGUUUCAAGCAGAGAUCCCCCCAGUGCGGGACACGCUGUACAUGCUGUAUGAAGAACACCCUGCUCAACUCGUCUGGACUCCUUGGAAAGAUCUCUCUACCAACACAGAAACACAACAGAGAGUCAAAGAGCUGUUAGACAUGUGCUGUUCCAGUGUGCUACCAGGAGGCGGCACCAACAUUGAAUUUGCUCUCCACUGCUUUCAUGAAGUUCAAGGAAACAUAAUGUUGUUUAACUGUCAGGCAGCACUGGAUUUACUCUUAAUGAGAGGAGAUUUUCGGACCUCCUGGCACCCUCUGAACGAUUACCACUACACAGGGUCAGACCACUGGACAGCGCAAGAGAUGAAAGUGUUCAAGAAAGCUCUGGUUGAACAUGACAAGGACUUUCAACAGAUUCAUAAUGUGUUGCAGACAAAAUCAAUAUCCCAGUGUGUGGAAUAUUACUAUAACAUGAAAAAGCUGAAAAAGUUCAAGCAAUGUGUCCGAGCCACAAAUAAAAAGGAUGACGGUGGAGAGAUCUCUAGGCAUUCAAAUACUCACAAGAGCACAAUCCUGAACAGAUAAAUGGGAACACAGGACAGAAGACAACAGCUGCUCAGAGUGAGGUGUGUGCCAGGCCAUGUUAUGGGAAUUUUGUUCGAGCCAGAUGUGACAUGAAACAAUCAACAAAACACUUUCAUUCCAUGAAAAAAUAUUAGCAAAUUUCAAAAUUAAUUUUACCUUUAAAUCCAGAGGUGUAAAGAGCCACAGUUC